rnacentral:rRNA from 1 species
AAAUCAUUUAAUUAAAUUAAAUUAAAUUACAAUUAAAUCCACCUUCAAUUAAUUUAUUUCAAAAUAAUAUUCAUUUUAAAUUAAUUUAUUGUAAUUCAUUAAAUCUUAAUUAUAAACUACAUCUUGAUUUGAUUUAAUUUUAAAUUUAAAAUUUAAUAUAUUAUAAUUUUAUAAAAAUAUAUUUAUAACAAUGAUAUAUAAAUUAUUAAAUUAAGUAAAUUUAUUCGUGUAAUAUCAUUUAAAAAACAAAUUCCUCUAAAUAAAAUAAAAUACUGCCAAUUUAUUUAAAUUUAAAAUUAAAUUUAUUCUUUUAGUUAAUAUAAUUAAUUUAAUAUAAUAGGG